CUGAAUACUCUAUACAAAACCACAAAAUUAGAUAAAUACGUAUUUAAGUGUUAUUCCUGAAAGCUGGAGAAAAAAAUCUUACUUCUAAGCGAAGGAAUAAGAAAAUGUGAUGCUUGGAAGAAAGAAUGCACUGCCGAGAGACCUUGUUGCUGAGUGUGCUGAACAAUAGACAACCUCUAAGGAUGCCCGCCUGCAAUUCCAGCUCUGCCAUCAAUUCACUGUAUGCCUUUGGAAACUUUAAAAUUACACACCUGACUCAAAUCUGUGGGAGCCACAGUGCCCUAGAGGGUCUUGCACUAGCAAUUGAAUGCUGUACCUCAUUGGCUUGAAUCUGUCACAUGACCACACAUGUGAGGCCAGAAAAUGCAAUCCCACAAUGCAGCUGGAAGACCGCUAACUGGAAAUCAAUGGUGAAAAGUCCUAAGAAAUGCCAUAGAAAGAGAAAGAGGCAGGGGGCCAGCAGGGGCCAGAACCAAUUUUGGAAAGUAUAUUUAAGAUCAUCUGGGUUAAAUGUGUGUUACUUGACACCCAAAAAUUUACUUGGAAAGCCCUUGAGAAUACCUCCAGGAUCUGAGCCGUCAACCUCUAAAGCAACCAUUAAUAAAAUGGAGUCAUGAGACUGCCCUAUAACAGGUUGUGGAGAAAGAAAUGUCUCCCAUGUCACAAUAGUGUGGACAAAGAAGAAGAUUAGCAACAAUUUGGGCAAAAUACGUACACACACACACACACACACACACACACAAAGACAGACAUUUGAAACUUUGAAAACUUUGGUUUGCUGUUGAAAACUUUGGUUUGCUGUUGAGCUGCUUCUUAUCUGGGCUACUCUAUGUGGAACACUCCAUGGUGAGAAGCAACAGGGAUUUAUUGACUGAUCAGUCAACGAGUAUUGUUCUCCUGAGAAAAGCUGAGAGGUCGGCAAAUGUACGCAAAUGUGCAGGUAUGUCCAUUAAGUAUUGAAAACCCUGAAAUACACAUUCCAAAAACUACACCAUCAUUGUCAUUGGA